AGAUAUGAAAAUCCAGAUAUAAGGACAACUUACCCAACUUACUGUGCAGCAGGUACAGGAGACCUAUUUUGGAUAUUAAAUAACAAGCAGAGAAGAAGAAACAAUGGUGAACAGAAACUCAUGGGAAGCAAACAAGCUGGAUAAGAGUGCAGCCACUAGAAGUCAUUAGUGGCCUCAUUUCCUGUGGAUUUGUUUGAGAUUACAAGAAAUGCCAAAAUAGGACUUGUUUUUGGCCAUUUCAAAACACACACAUACACUACCGCAAAAAAGAAGAAGAAGAAGAAGAAGAAGAAGAAGAAGAAGAAGAUAAUCUGCAAGAUUAAGGAAGGAAAACAUAUGAAUUGGAGUAAGCAAAAAAGAAACAGUAAAACAGAGAGCAGUCAUCACAAGCACUGAAAAGCAAACAGCAUGGUAUUUUUGCCUUUCAUGCUGUUUAUGGGACCCUUGGGCAAAAAGCAACAUAGACUUGAACAUCGGCAUUACAUUGCACAAGUCAUUCAGGAAUUGCACAGGAAUGACAAAAUAUGGUCUAAGUGAAUGUGCAAGACUCUCUGAUACAGAAAGCACAAGAUGAUGUUUAAGCUUGGUCAAACACUUUGCCCAGUCACCCCAACACAAGUUAAAGACACCAGUCUUUUAAAAGGAUUGGUUCAAAAUGCAUAAGAUUGAAAUGAGCUGCCUCUGGUGAUAACAUGGCAGUGGGGUGGCACUGGGGUCUGAAUAGAGUAUCAAGACUUUUCAACAUGUGCACAUAAAUGUAGCAGCACCUU